UAAUAAUUCUUAAGAGCAUUCACUCAAAUUUCUCCUUCUCUUGCGUUCUUAUUUUCUGUGGCUUGUUCUUAUUUUGUUUUUCGUUCAUCUUCGUUUCUUUUUAAGUUGAUUUCAUUUAAGUUGGAUUUUGGUGGAGGAAUUUCGUUGAAUCUUCAUAUUGUAGGAGAGGAUAAUAUGCUUCAACACACUUGAACUCACAUCUUUCUAUAUUGACAAAAAUACCAAUACCAAUCAACAAAGCUACCUAGAGAACUACGGUGCUCCCCAAGUGACCAAUGAAGAUGAGAUUUGCGUCAUAUACAUGUCUAGACCCAUGGUCACCUACACAUAUAAAUACUCGCCCAUAGUCUUGGGAAGGGAGAUGUCUUUCUCCACAACCUUCUCAUUCAUUACAAUAACAAGACUUCUUCAUCUAUGGCUCUCCACAUGAUCUCCACCGUGUGAACCGUCACCUUCUUCUCCUCCCUUUAUUUGUUAUCAACAAUCCAAAUAGAUGCAUGUCCUUCCCAUUUAUCAACAAAAAACAAAAGGGCGCCUUUCUUAAAUUCAAAUAAAGGCCAAUGCAAAAGGCCCUGUUUCACCACACACAUUAUCUCUCUAUCAAGUGUAUAUCACAUGCACAUUUGCUCUUGUAACCCAAAGGAUAGAUAGUUUUAGGGCAGGUUAUUUUAUAACCUCUCUUUUAACUAAUGAGGGGCUAAUCAUUAUAUGUAUCUUGCCUAUCCAAGCUUCAUCACCAUCACUUCGCCGAUCAUGACAUUAUAAAGAGUGGCACUUUGCCAGAACAUGAGCUUCGCGAACAUACACACACAACACAUGGAACUCUUGCGAUCUACUUCGUCAAGAACAAAUGUUAAGUCCUUCCUUGCAUGGCUCACAUGUUGGAUCUUACCAAGUCAUCUUCAUCCCAUCAUUGCCUACCUAAAGGACUAUAGUGCUCCCCAAGUGGCCAACCAAUAUGAGACUUGUGUCAUACAUGUGUAAAGACCCAUGACUAAAAGAGGGUCACCUUCACUUAUAAAUACUCAUUCUUAUCCUUGGGAAAAGGGAUGUCUCUCUUCACAA